UACGAAGGGGGCGAGCGUUGUUCGGAGUUACUGGGCGUAAAGGGCGCGUAGGCGGCGCUCCAAGUUAGGCGUGAAAGCCCCGGGCUCAACCUGGGAAUAGCGCUUAAGACUGGGGUGCUCGAGUGCGGGAGAGGUGAGUGGAAUUCCCAGUGUAGAGGUGAAAUUCGUAGAUAUUGGGAAAGAACACCAGUGGCGAAGGGCGGCUCACUGGUCCGGUACUGACGCUGAGGUGCGAAAGCGUGGGGAGCAAACAGGGAGU
rnacentral:rRNA from 1 species